AGAAGUGCGAAUGCUGACAUAAGUAACGAUAAAGCGGGUGAAAAGCCCGCUCGCCGGAAGACCAAGGGUUCCUGUCCAACGUUAAUCGGGGCAGGGUGAGUCGACCCCUAAGGCGAGGCCGAAAGGCGUAGUCGAUGGGAAACAGGUUAAUAUUCCUGUACUUGGUGUUACUGCGAAGGGGGGACGGAGAAGGCUAUGUUAGCCGGGCGACGGUUGUCCCGGUUUAAGCAUGUAGGCUGGUUAUCCAGGCAAAUCCGGAUAACCAAGGCUGAGGUGUGAUGACGAGGCACUACGGUGCUGAAGUAACAAAUGCCCUGCUUCCAGGAAAAGCCUCUAAGCAUCAGGUAACAUCAAAUCGUACCCCAAACCGACACAGGUGGUCAGGUAGAGAAUACCAAGGCGCUUGAGAGAACUCGGGUGAAGGAACUAGGCAAAAUGGUGCCGUAACUUCGGGAGAAGGCACGCUGGUGUGUAGGUGAAGUCCCUGCGGAUGGAGCUGAGACCAGUCGAAGAUACCAGCUGGCUGCAACUGUUUAUUAAAAACACAGCACUGUGCAAACACGAAAGUGGACGUAUACGGUGUGACGCCUGCCCGGUGCCGGAAGGUUAAUUGAUGGGGUUAUCCGUAAGGAGAAGCUCUUGAUCGAAGCCCCGGUAAACGGCGGCCGUAACUAUAACGGUCCUAAGGUAGCGAAAUUCCUUGUCGGGUAAGUUCCGACCUGCACGAAUGGCGUAAUGAUGGCCAGGCUGUCUCCACCCGAGACUCAGUGAAAUUGAACUCGCUGUGAAGAUGCAGUGUACCCGCGGCAAGACGGAAAGACCCCGUGAACCUUUACUAUAGCUUGACACUGAACAUUGAGCCUUGAUGUGUAGGAUAGGUGGGAGGCUUUGAAGCGUGGACGCCAGUCUGCGUGGAGCCAACCUUGAAAUACCACCCUUUAAUGUUUGAUGUUCUAACGUUGGCCCCUGACCGGGGUUGCGGACAGUGUCUGGUGGGUAGUUUGACUGGGGCGGUCUCCUCCCAAAGCGUAACGGAGGAGCACGAAGGUUAGCUAAUCCUGGUCGGACAUCAGGAGGUUAGUGCAAUGGCAUAAGCUAGCUUGACUGCGAGCGUGACGGCGCGAGCAGGUGCGAAAGCAGGUCAUAGUGAUCCGGUGGUUCUGAAUGGAAGGGCCAUCGCUCAACGGAUAAAAGGUACUCCGGGGAUAACAGGCUGAUACCGCCCAAGAGUUCAUAUCGACGGCGGUGUUUGGCACCUCGAUGUCGGCUCAUCACAUCCUGGGGCUGAAGUAGGUCCCAAGGGUAUGGCUGUUCGCCAUUUAAAGUGGUACGCGAGCUGGGUUUAGAACGUCGUGAGACAGUUCGGUCCCUAUCUGCCGUGGGCGCUGGAGAAUUGAGGGGGGCUGCUCCUAGUACGAGAGGACCGGAGUGGACGCAUCACUGGUGUUCGGGUUGUCAUGCCAAUGGCACUGCCCGGUAGCUAAAUGCGGAAGAGAUAAGUGCUGAAAGCAUCUAAGCACGAAACUUGCCCCGAGAUGAGUUCUCCCUGAGACUUUAAGUCUCCUGAAGGAACGUUAAAGACGAUGACGUUGAUAGGCCGGGUGUGUAAGCGCAGCGAUGCGUUGAGCUAACCGGUACUAAUGAACCGUGAGGCUUAACCUU
rnacentral:rRNA from 1 species